rnacentral:tRNA from 1 species
GCGGGUGUCGUCUAGCGGCCCAGGACCCCGGUCUUCCAAACCGGCAACGGGAGUUCGAAUCUCCCCAUCCGCU